GGCAUGCACUGGCUGUUCCAAGAGCUCACGCAUAUGUGAGGUGUGACUUGUCUUUGGCUUUGGUUGCAGGUCUUUCAGGUUGCAGGCUAUGAAGAAGAGGCACGUAUAGCAUUUGCGGUGCUGGAUGCAGUUGAAGGCAAAACUGAUGAUGCCUUCCAAGCAUUUGAAGCUAUCAAGAAUGUGGUUUCAUACUGGAAUCUUGCCGAGCUUUGCCAAAGGAAGGCAGAGGAGAUGGUGAGUGGUGAUGUUUUGGCAGAAGAACAAGGAGAACACAAGGCCUACCUUCU